CACGUAGGGCGCGAGCGUUGUCCGGAUUUAUUGGGCGUAAAGAGCUCGUAGGCGGCUUGUCGCGUCGUCUGUGAAAUCCCGCGGCUCAACUGCGGGCUGGCAGUCGAUACGGGCAGGCUGGAGUUCGGUAGGGGAGACUGGAAUUCCUGGUGUAGCGGUGAAAUGCGCAGAUAUCAGGAGGAACACCGGUGGCGAAGGCGGGUCUCUGGGCCGAUACUGACGCUGAGGAGCGAAAGCGUGGGGAGCGAACAGG
rnacentral:rRNA from 1 species